AUUAAAGAGAUAGGGUCUUCAUGGCCCGACCUCCACCCUCUGUUGUUAAAACUACCUUGUUGCUUUGGCGGGACCGUCUCGGUCUCCGAGCGCACUAACCCUCGGGUUGGUGAGCGCCCGCCAGAGUCCAACCAAACUCUUGUAUUAAACCAGUCGUCUGAGUAUAAAAUUUUAAUUAAAUUAAAACUUUCAACAACGGAUCUCUUGGUUCUCGCAUCGAUGAAGAACGCAGCGAAAUGCGAUAAGUAAUGUGAAUUGCAGAAUUCAGUGAAUCAUCGAAUCUUUGAACGCACAUUGCGCCCCUUGGUAUUCCGAGGGGCAUGCCUGUUCGAGCGUCAUUACACCACUCAAGCAUCGCUUGGUAUUGGGAACGGUCCGUCGAAAGGCGGGCCUUCCUCGAAGACCUCGGCGGGGUUCAACCAACUUCGGGCGUAGUAGAGUUAAAUCGAACGUCUUAUAAGCUUGGUCGGAUCUCAUUGCCGUUAAACCUUUAAAUUUUCUAGGUUGACCUCGGAUCAGGUAGGGAUACCCGCUGAACUUAAGCAUAUCAAUA
rnacentral:rRNA from 1 species